rnacentral:rRNA from 1 species
UACGGGGGGGGCAAGCGUUGUUCGGAAUUACUGGGCGUAAAGGGCUCGUAGGCGGCCAACUAAGUCGGAUGUGAAAUCCCCAGGCUUAACCUGGGAACUGCAUCCGAUACUGGAUGGCUUGAAUCCGGGAGAGGGAUGCAGAAUUCCAGGUGUAGCGGUGAAAUGCGUAGAUAUCUGGAGGAACACCAACGGCGAAGGCAGCUCGCUGGGACGUGACUGACGCUGAGACGCGAAAGCGUGGGGAGCAAACAAG